rnacentral:RNase_P_RNA from 2 species
CCAGACGGCCGGACGGUCGCUGGCCGGGGGCGACAGCCUGCCGGCUGGAGGAAAGUCCGGGCUCCACGGAACAACGGUGCCGGCUAACGGCCGGCGGGGGCGACCCCAGGGAAAGUGCCACAGAGAACAGACCGCCGGCCCGCGGCUUAUCCGUCGGCCGGCAAGGGUGAAACGGUGCGGCAAGAGCGCACCGCGCCGCCGGCAACGGCGGCGGCAGGGUAAACCCCACCGGGAGCAAGACCGAAUAGGGGCGGCAGACCGCGGUGACGAGCCGCGGUCAGGGUGUUCCGACCCGCCGCCCGGGUUGGUCGCGCGAGGCGCGCCGCAAGGCGCGUCCCAGAGGAAUGGCCGUCCCGUCGCCGCAGCGAUGCGGCGACGGACAGAACCCGGCUUACAGGCCGUCUGGCACC